GUAGGGGGCAAGCGUUAUCCGGAUUUACUGGGUGUAAAGGGAGCGCAGACGGCAAUGCAAGUCUGAAGUGAAAGGCGUGGGCUCAACCCAUGAACUGCUUUGGAAACUGUAUAGCUUGAGUGUCGGAGGGGUAAGCGGAAUUCCUAGUGUAGCGGUGAAAUGCGUAGAUAUUAAGAGGAACACCAGUGGCGAAGGCGGCUUACUGGACGGCAACUGACGUUGAGGCUCGAAAGCGUGGGGAGCAAACAGGAUUAGAUACCCUGGUAGUCCACGCCGUAAACGAUGAUUGCUAGGUGUAGGUGGGUAUGGACCCAUCGGUGCCGCAGCUAACGCAAUAAGCAAUCCACCUGGGGAGU
rnacentral:rRNA from 1 species